CCUAAAUAGCACUAAGUAAAUCGAGCUUUUGAUUACAAGUAGCUUGUUUUAUGAGUCUGGCCUUUCUUUUUGUGAUUGUUGCUAGGACUCUGACUGUUAAUCACCUGCGUUACUCAUAAUGGAGAUGGGUAGGACCAAGGCCUGUUUAUUUCCUGCAUCCAGUGCCAGGUCUAGUGGGUGAUUUCCAGUCCAUUCCUCCUCUGCUUCUACCAGAUGGAGGUGUGAUUAUAUUCCUUAUUUGGAUAUUGUCUGUAAAUCACCUCAAGGGAUGGAAGAAAAUUUGCAAGUAGCCCAAGAAAAUCUGCUGAGAUUAAGAAGGAAAUAUGUAACUAAUUGGAAGCCGCCAUAUGUUAUAAAACAGCAAACAAAAUUCCUCCACCUCACAAAAGAAAGAUCUGUUACCGAAAAGAACUGCAAAAAGAAAUUCCUUUGUAAGUAGCUGAAUGGUUAACAGUUGCUGUAUGAUUCCUCUCCAGUAUUUAUAUUUUUCAUCUUUGACUUGAAACCAAUAUUUAUUACA